rnacentral:rRNA from 1 species
AACAGCCACUGUACCAUCUGCAGUUCAUACCUGAUAAGCCAUCUGAAGCAAAGUGGGUUUGGGCCAGGAUAAUACAUGGAUGGGAGACCAACUAGGAAGGCUGGGUUGCUGCUGGAA